AUGAGACUUUGGCUCCACUUACUUUUCAUUGUAGCGGCUUUGUCAGGGGCCCGUUCACAGGUUGUUCUGACCCAGUCCGGUCCCGAAGUGAAGAAGCCCGGAGAAUCCACCCAGCUGAAAUGCGCCGUGAGCGGGUUUGUCCCUAACGACCGGUGGAUGGAUUGGGUCAGACAGCUGCCGGGAAAGGGACUGGAGUGGCUGGUCCACUAUCGCCAAUCUUCAGUCACGAAUUACUACUCCCCCUCCAUCCAGGGGCGAUUCACAGCCUCCAAGGACAGCUCCAACUUCUACCUGCAAAUGACCAGCCUGAAAGCGGAGGACACCGCCGUGUAUUACUGUGCCAGAGACACAGUGAGGGGAAGUGAAUCUGAGCUCAGACAAAAACCUUCCCCUGCACUAACAGCGCAACGUGUCCACUGCUGA